AUCCAAAGGGCACUUUCUUAAUAUUUCUUUAUACCUCUUGCAGGCUUCAUAAAUGGAUUCUCCAUCUUUUUGUAUAAAGGUUUGAAUAUCAUAUCUCAGCUU